rnacentral:misc_RNA from 1 species
GUAGGUGAACCUGCGGAAGGAUCAUUAACACGUAUCCAACGUUAAACCCCUGUGAACCUUAAGACGCCGCUCCUUGUACUCGUCCGAGAAAUUAAGGAGGAGGGACUUCCGGCAGUGCACCCUAGUCAGAGCGCUUGGAGUUAGUGGCUUGUAUUUCCCCAAGCAGCCAGUGAGUGAAAGUGUCAUUGGUUGUGUAAGGAUUUCGCCUAAACAGCGAUCACUGUAGGUCGAUCACCGACCGGUGAAAUAAGCAACAGAAGCUUUAAUGCUUCCCUCACCGCCCAACUAUUGCCGCCUGCCGCUAACAACGCCGGGUAUUUAAAAACGUACAAAACAACUGUUAACAAUGGAUAUCUUGGUUCUC